rnacentral:rRNA from 1 species
GACGAACGCUGGCGGCGUGCCUAAUACAUGCAAGUCGAACGAGAGCGACCGGUGCUUGCACUGGUCAAUCUAGUGGCGAACGGGUGAGUAACACGUGGGUAACCUGCCCAUCAGAGGGGGAUAACAUCCGGAAACGGAUGCUAAAACCGCAUAGGUCUUCGAACCGCAUGGUUUGAAGAGGAAAAGAGGCGCAAGCUUCUGCUGAUGGAUGGACCCGCGGUGCAUUAGCUAGUUGGUGAGGUAACGGCUCACCAAGGCCGUGAUGCAUAGCCGACCUGAGAGGGUGAUCGGCCACAUUGGGACUGAGACACGGCCCAAACUCCUACGGGAGGCAGCAGUAGGGAAUCUUCUGCAAUGGACGCAAGUCUGACGGAGCAACGCCGCGUGAGUGAAGAAGGUUUUCGGAUCGUAAAACUCUGUUGUUAGAGAAGAACAAGUGCUAGAGUAACUGUUAGCGCCUUGACGGUAUCUAACCAGAAAGCCACGGCUAACUACGUG